rnacentral:rRNA from 1 species
AACCAACAGGGAUUGCCUCAGUAACGGCGAGUGAAGCGGCAAAAGCUCAAAUUUUAAAGCUGGCACCUUCGGUGUCCGCGUUGUAAUUUUGUGAGGCAUCUCCGGGUAGGGCGCCGGCCUAAGUUCCUUGGAACAGGACGUCAUAGAGGGUGAGAAUCCCGUGCUUGGCUGGCUGUCCCCGUCCAUGUGAGGUGUCUUCGACGAGUCGAGUUGUUUGGGAAUGCAGCUCAAAAUGGGUGGUAAAUUUCAUCUAAAGCUAAAUAUUGGUGGGAGACCGAUAGCGCACAAGUAGAGUGAUCGAAAGAUGAAAAGCACUUUGAAAAUAGAGUUAAAAAGUACGUGAAAUUGUUGAAAGGGAAGCGCUUGAGACCAGACUUCGGUGGGGAGUGAUCAGCUGUCCUUCUGGGCGGUGCACUUGCUCCCCUCCGGGCCAGCAUCGGUUGGGACGGCGGGAUAAAGGUCCCGGGAAUGUGGCUCCUCUCGGGGAGUGUUAUAGCCCGGGUGAAUGCCGCCAGCCCCGACCGAGGACCGCGCCUUCGGGCUAGGAUGCUUG